CUUUGUUGUCCUUUCAUCUUCCUGGGUUUGCAAAUCCUUUCAGAAUUAGAUAUAAGAUAUGGUUUCUGGCCCCAGAAAAUACAUAUUUACUAGACAUGUAACUCUCACCUAAUUUUACUUGCAAUUUAGGGACUUUACAAAAUCCUGGCAGUCCAUUGUGGACGACCAGGUUCAUGAAAGCUAAACUACCCAUUCUCUAAGGCCUCUUCUGCCUUAAUAGGCUUCAGAGACUUCAAUUCCUUCACCAUUUUGCAGAGCCUCUGCAAGGAGAGGAAGGAGCAAAGUGCUCUUCCUACAGCUGCUGUGAAAAUAACCAUGCUUUAAACACUCAAUUUAGGUUAUGUUUAGAAAGCAUAGUCCAAAUAAGCAGCUCUUCAGGACAAUGGCAUAAAACUACAACUUGACGUUUUUUUUUUCCUAGAAGACAGGGAAUGAGAAGGAUGGAAGGCCUGGAUAGCGUAAGAUAAAGAAUGGGGUAUGGUUGGAACACACAGAUGGCACAGUCCUUGAAGAAGUGAGUGUUAAGGGUCUCAAGAAAGCGUGGGCAAGCAGCAAUCUUGCCUCUGUGGGAAGUGGUAAGGGAAGCUACGCAGCUUCUCAACACACAGAGGGGUCCUUCGGACGGUACCUAUAGCAGGCCUCGCUGUUGGUCAUAAAUAUUGACUGCCCCUCCCUGAAAGAGGAUGAUAUUUCUCCUUCUUCUUGACAUUAGACUUGGCCAUGCUAUUUGCCCUGGCCAGUGAAAUGUGCAGAAAUGACAUCUCUCACUUCCAGGCAGAAGAUCUAAGAGCCAGCUCAAGUUUUACCAUGUGCUCUUCUCCCCAUCCACGAGGCUGGCAGGAUUCUAGGCCUACUGCACCCUCAGUGAAGGGAACGUGGGGCAGCGCUGCAGUCAGCCUCUCAGGCAUCAGGUGAGUGCAAGAAAAUAUUUUUGAUAUUGUAAGCCUGUGAGAUUUUGGAGUUGCUUGUCACUGCCGCAGAGCCAAGCCUAACUUCCUGAUAUACUACCAUCCUCCUUUGGGAAGGAAGAGAGACGGAUUGCAGCACCAGCCAGCGUCUGAAGGAACUACGUGCACCCUCCUCUUUCCAUCCUCCCCACUCCUGACGCUGUUAACAGCACUCUCCUGUCAUGGUUAGUGCUAAGUGUCAAUUUGAUUGGGUUGAAGGAUGCAAAGUAUUGUUCCUGGAUGUGUCUGUGAGGGCGUUGCCAAAAGAGAUUAACAUUUGAGUCAGUGAACUGGGGGAGGCAGACCAACCCUCAAAGUGGCUGGGCACCAUCUCAUCAGCUGCCAGCACGGCUAGAAUAAAGCAGGCAGAAGAAGGUAGGAGAAGCUGACUUGCUGAGUCUUCUGGCCUUCAUCUUUCUCUUGUGCUGGGUGCUCCCUGCCCUUGAACAUCAGACUCCAAGUUCUUCGGCUUUUGGACACUUGAACUUACACCAGUGGC
rnacentral:lncRNA from 10 species